ACAGCUGAUAAAUCUCCAGAAUGCAGAUGGCUCCUGGGAUAUGAAUGAAGAUUUAGUUAAGAUUCUAGGUACUAGUUUGGAAGACAUGACGGCUGCACGCCCUAGUGAGGUAUUAGAACCUUCGGCUUGGGCUACAAUGCUAGCUGUGCUUUGGCUACAUGAGAAUGGCAAGGAAUUGAAGGAGGAGUGGGAGCUUCUGGAAAGAAAGGCUGUGGUUUGGCUUCACAAAAAUGCAGUCGAAGGUUUCACCAAGGCCAUGGAUACUGCCAACAAGUUCUUGAAGACAUCAUUGAGUCCCUCCAUCUUCAAUUUAUGAGAGUGGUGCCUGGGAGAAGGGCAUUCUUUCCUGCCUCCUAUCACAUCCUUCACCUUGUCCGUUAAGAUAGAUUUGUGUCUUGGGUACCUUACGACCUGUAUCAUACUAUAAAAGUAAAGGAUGAGCACAUGGCUUUGGCUAUCUAUUGUAGGUCCCACUGGUUACAACCUUGGGUGUCUGUGUAUAUGAUUUGAUAUGAGUCAUACCUAUCAACAGAUGUCUGUCCUUAACCAUUAAUCAUUCUGUAGGAGGUUAAUAAUGAGUUGUUUAGACCUAGCAUUAAUCCAUUAAGCCCAUGAGUUUGGUUAUGGCCUGGUUUACUCAGAAUUAAUGUAAGUUUUGCUGAGAGUUGAGUAUGUUUCGUUUUUCGUCCCAUAAAGAAUCAGGUUCCCAAAUCACUCUGACCAUUGCUUUUCACAUACCCUAUCAUAUUAAAUGAUCCCAUUCCUCCAGAUUGCUGUUAUACCAAUAUUAAAAUUAAUAUUCUACUAUG
rnacentral:lncRNA from 1 species